AACGCACAUUGCGCCUCUAGUAACUUGGAGGCAUGCCUGUCUGAGCGUCAUUUAAAACCAUAAACUCAACUGAGUCUGUAUUGGGCGUCGUCCUCGGACGUAGCCUCAAAGUCAUCGGUCUUAUACGCGGACGAGCUCCAUUAGGACAGACCGUGUGUGGACUUUAAAUCUCUGACUUGACCUCAGAUCAGGUAGGACUACCGCCUGAACUUAA
rnacentral:misc_RNA from 1 species